rnacentral:lncRNA from 1 species
AAAAAAAAAAAAAAAAAAAAAGACUUUCUAAGCAACCGGAACAGCUGCUGAGCACCAGGAUUUUCAUGCAGAGCCAGGAAACAGACAAGGCAUAAUUUUCUUGAGCCUUCCACCUCUGUAAGGUCCAUAGAAUGAGUGUUUUGAUUCUGUGAUGGAGGGAGAAGGGAGAGAGGAGAGGGCGGCUUCCUUUCCACUUUGUCUUUCUCUAUCCUUAAAAAAACAAAAGGGAGUGUUCACUGGGGCAUUGUAGGUGCUUGUUUUGCCCAGAACUUAAAUAUCAAAAAUGACAACAAUAUAAACAAACAACCCUGCCCCCUACAUUAUUCAAUGUGUGUGUGUGUGUGUGUGUGUGUGUGUGUGUGUGUGUGCAUGCGCACGCUGUGCUGUGAGGUUGCUCAAUUGAAGAGGCCAGGCUUUCUAGGGGAGACUGGGUGGCCCACUCAGCAGAGGACAAUCUGGCUGGCCCUGUUCCAGCCGCACUGGGUAAACCAGCCAGUCAAGGGGACACUUGUGGCAGUUUGGAAUUUUCAAGUGGGUAAAAAUAAUGAUAAAUCCUUCAAAGAAUCAAGGAGGAGCCCCGAAACUCAUUUAGCCCUCAGACAGAAACCCUAGAAAAUGCCCCCAGCCACCACCUGACAGAGGUGCAUGGAAAACUCCAGAGGCCUGUUGCCAACAUGGGAUUGUUUGAUCUGCCUUGAAGGUGAUCCUAGCUUGGUGCUUUUCAGACUGCAUUCUGGAAACAUCAGCCCUAAGGCCCAAGUCCCUUGCUUUACAGGUUUCCAACAGAGACUCCUUCUUUUGGAAGACCUUUUCUUUCGGAGGGGAGUGACAAACGAAGCCAGCAUUGAGCCUGGCCUUCCAGGCUGUCUCUGUGCAUAGGGAUCUGGGAGAUGCUGCUGCCAUCUCCGCCUCUGUCACUUACAAAGACCCCUCUAAUCCCAAUUGCCUCACACAAAAAAGAGUGGAAAAACAGUCUACGGACUGGAAAUAAAAAGGAAUGCCCAAGGAGCAGCUGGCACCUUAACGCCCCCACAAGACACUAGCUGGUACAUCACCAUGAAACCCAAUCACCCUUUCCCCAGUUACGAUGGGGUUGGAUUUAGUUCUGCAACAACAGAAUGAAGUAUAUGUUUUAACAAAUAAACAUAAUUUUGGCAGAAGUGUCAGCAUCGUUAGCCAGGAAAUUUUUUAUAUACUUAUAUCAAUUCGACAUACCCUCAAGUCCCCCAGCCACGGCCCGUCAGUGAGGGACACAAAUGCUAAGAAAGGGAGCAAAUGUUUAUGAAUGUAUUAACUGCCCUACACACACACACACACACAUACACACACACACACAAAUACUUGUGCUUCUAUAUUAUAACCAAAUAUUACUUCUUCUGAUCAGCAUUUUUGUAUUUGUCUACCUUUUAUGAAGUGUUGAGCAGUGCCUACUUGCUAGCCAUGUUGAAUUUAAUCAUCUUUUUCUGAACUCUUGUCUUUUGGGCACCUCGCCUUUUCUUAGCAUACACUCAUCCUGAAACUCCUGGGAAAUCAAAGGCAGGUUAAGCAAAGAGCUGCGCUUAGAAGAGACCAGCUCUUCUUGAACUCUCCUGGCAUCCUAUUGGAGGAUUCUUUGUGACCCAGGAUGAGCUAGGAACAGAGCCAGUCUUUCUUAGUACCUUGGCCAGGCCAUUGCUGGGGAUUCUCAGCUGUUGUGUCCUGUCAAGAGCUGCGGUGUGGGGGUGGGGGAUUUAUUGGGAAAUAAUAGAUUGUAGUUAAUUCCGACAGCUCACGGAGUCACAAGGGGCCAGAUACUUCUUCUAAGCGAGAGGUAGCUGUGAGAGAAGUGAGAAGAGGAUGCUGAAGGUGGGGGAAAGAAUUGCAGAAGUGAAAGGAAGAGUCCUGGAGAGUGGGACUGAGGGGGAAUGGCACUGUGAAGAGGGAAAGUCCCAGAGAAAGAGCCCCUUCUCUUUCCACAAACCUGCUCGCCCUCCCCCACCUCCCCCUGGCUCACAGCCUCUCAUAAAGGGAGUGCUUCCCUGGGCUGCUGAGUGUGAUCACACUUAAUUUCAAAUAGCAAAGUCCAUUUCGAGCCGUAUUUUCACACUGGCGGGAUGAAUGUGAAUAAUAGCCACAUUGAGGCUGGUUCUGAAAUGGCUCGCCCAGCUGACACGAAUGUGAAGUUUUCCAGUCGAGAAUGUGUUUAAUGGUUCAGAAACCACUUUUUGCUGACCCUCAAGUCACCUCCUGAGUUUUGUCAAGAGCUUCUUUUUGAGAAAGGAUUAUUAUCUCCAGUUGUUGUCUCCUGGGUGCAACUCUUUCUCUCUCUGCUUGGAUAUUUCACUUCAGCCUGUGUAACAGAACACUGAACAUGAUGGGGCUGGAAGAUUGCAUGUCGAAGACUCCUUUGCAGGUUGGUAGAGCCAUAUGCGUACCCAGCUACUCAGAGAGGUAAACAGAGAUAAUGGAAGUAGAAAAC